GUAGGGAAUCUUCGGCAAUGGGGGCAACCCUGACCGAGCAACGCCGCGUGAGUGAAGAAGGUUUUCGGAUCGUAAAACUCUGUUGUUAGAGAAGAACGUUAAGUAGAGUGGAAAAUUACUUAAGUGACGGUAUCUAACCAGAAAGGGACGGCUAACUACGUGCCAGCAGCCGCGGUAAUACGUAGGUCCCAAGCGUUGUCCGGAUUUAUUGGGCGUAAAGCGAGCGCAGGUGGUUUCUUAAGUCUGAUGUAAAAGGCAGUGGCUCAACCAUUGUGUGCAUUGGAAACUGGGAGACUUGAGUGCAGGAGAGGAGAGUGGAAUUCCAUGUGUAGCGGUGAAAUGCGUAGAUAUAUGGAGGAACACCGGAGGCGAAAGCGGCUCUCUGGCCUGUAACUGACACUGAGGCUCGAAAGCGUGGGGAGCAAACAGGAUUAGAAACCCUAGUAGUCC
rnacentral:rRNA from 1 species